UAGUGGGGAGGUAAAGAGCUUACCCAAGGCAGCGAUCGGUAGCUGGUCGAGGAGAAUGAGCAGCCACAUGGAACUGAGACACGCCCAGACUUCUACGGGAGGCAGCAGUGGGGAUUUCGCAAUGACGAAAGCUGACGAGCACGCGCGUGUGGAGAGCUCUGGGCUGUCAUCACUUUUCUCAGGGAGAUUACUGACGGUACUGAGGAAUCAGCCUCGGCUAACUCCGUGCCAGCAGCCGCGGUAAUACGGAGGAGGCAAGCGUUAUCCGGAAUUAUUGGGCGUAAAGCGUCCGCAGGGGGCGCAUCAAGUCUGCUGUUAAAGGCCCGAGCUUAACUCCGGUAGAGCAGUGGAAACUGGUGCGCUAGAGGGCGACAGGGGUAGAGGGAAUUCCCAGUGUAGCGGUGAAAUGCGUAGAGAUUGGGAAGAACACCGGUGGCGAGAGCGCUCUACUGGGUCGCACCUGACCCUCAGGGACGAAAGCUAAGGUAGCGAAAGGGAUUAGAUACCCCUGUAGUCUUAGCCGUAAACGAUGGAUACUAGGCGUGGCUUGUAUCGACCCAAGCCGUGCCGAAGCUAACGCGUUAAGUAUCCCGCCUGGGGAGUACGCACGCAAGUGUGAAACUCAAAGGAAUUGACGGGGGCCCGCACAAGCGGUGGAGGAUGUGGUUUAAUUCGAUGCAACGCGAAGAACCUUACCAGGGCUUGACAGACCGCGAAUCUUCCGGAAAGGGAAGAGUGCCUUCGGGAGCGCGGACACAGGUGGUGCAUGGCUGUCGUCAGCUCGUGUCGUGAGAUGUUGGUUAAGUCCCGCAACGAGCGCAACCCUCGUCCUUAGUUGCCAGCAUUAAGUUGGGCACUCUAGGGAGACUGCCGGUGACAAACCGGAGGAAGGCGAGGAUGACGUCAAGUCAGCAUGCCCCUUAUGCUCUGGGCUACACACGUCCUACAAUGGUCGGGACAAAGGGGAGCGAGCUCGCGAGAGUCAGCGAAUCCCAUCAAACCCGACCUCAGUUCAGAUUGCAGGCUGCAACUCGCCUGCAUGAAGGAGGAAUCGCUAGUAAUCGCAGGUCAGCAUACUGCGGUGAAUUCGUUCCCGGGCCUUGUACACACCGCCCGUCACACCAUGGAAGCUGGCCAAGCCCGAAGUCGUUACCCUAACCUUUC
rnacentral:rRNA from 1 species